rnacentral:lncRNA from 1 species
UUGUUUCCUCCAAAACUCAUGUUGAAAUUUUAUUGCCAUUGUGAUGGUAUUGGGAGGUGGGGCCUUUAAGAGGUAUUUGAGUCAUGAUGGCUCCAUCUUCAGGAAUGAACCAAUGCCUUUAUCCUGGAAGGGGGUUCUCCCUUUCUUGCUCUCUAUCUCACUCUCUUUGUUCCCAUCCACCAUAGAAUGAUGCAGCAAGAAGGCCCUUGCAAGAUACUGGCCUGUUAAUCUUAGACUCCCCAGUCUCUGGAACCAUGAGCCAAACAAUUUGUUUAUUAUAAAUUAUUCAAUCUGUGGUAUCCUCUUAUAGUAACACAAAACAAAGACAAUGUGCAAGUUUUGAUGAAGAAUAUUUAAUAGUGUUUUCCAAAUUGUAGGAUUAAUAUAAAAAUCAUUUUAUAGCUAGGUUGUAAGGAUAACAGUUGACUGAAGUGAUAUAUAAAUGUAUAGCUUUCUGAUGUUACAGUCUGAGCUUAAGCACAGCGUUAUGUCAUGCCUUAAGUCUCACCGAUACCUGGUUUAGAUGAGACUUUGGACUUUUGAGUUGAUGCUGGAAUGAAUUCUUAAGCGGCUAUUGGGAUGGAAUAAAUAAUAUUAUUUGUGAGAAGGAGAGGAGGUUUUGGAGCAGUGAGUAGAAUGUUGUUGUUGAAUGUCUGUCCCUUCUAAAACUCAUGUUGAAAUGUAAUUGCCAUUGUGAUGUCACUGGGCUGACACAGCAGCUUCUUUUGCUGUGUUGUGCUAUUGCCCUCAUCUAUAAGGUUCCAGAUGACUUGCUGUUGUGUCCAGUUUCCAAGCCACAAAAUGAAAAACUGAAGGGACAGGAGGAGCACAACCCUUUCCUUAAGGGCUUGCCCUGGCAUGUUAACAAUCUGGAAAUUAAAUCAAGGUUCUGCUUAUACAGUACCCAUAAGAGGCACAAGAAUAUCUUUUAAAAUAUCAGGAGGCACUUAUCUUCAAGACUGUACAUGAAGGAGUAAUCCACCUAGAAAAACCAGGCUUCAGUGGCCAGGUUCAGCAUUCCAUGUCAGUGGUGAUCAUUUUACUGAGAAGGAAGCCAUGGGAUGGGCAGGUUCUUCUAAAGGUGAAUGGCUAUACAAGCUGUGAUACAACCAAACCACAGAAUGCCACUUAGAAAUAUAAAGGAACAGACUACUGAUACAUAAAACAACUUGGAUGAACCUCAGAGCAAUUAUCCUCAGUGGAAAAAGCCAACCUACAAUGAUUACCUAGUGAAUGAUUUCAUUUACGUAACAUUCUCGAAAUGCCAAGACCAUAGAAAUGGAAAACAGAAAAAUCAAGCUUUGUCUGAAGACCAAGUUUAUUCCAAGGAGGGAUCAAUUUCCAUCUUUUUAAGGGUAUGAAAGGGGUUUAAAAUUACAUUAAAUAUUGCUCAAGUAGUUGAAAGUCAGUUUCAUUGUGGACCCUAUAUUUUUCUGUUUCUCCUUGUCAUUACUCAAAGCAAUGAGCUAAUAUUUAAGAUCCAAUUUAGACAUCUCAUUAGGGUGAAAUUAAUUACUUUAUGUCAAUUAUAUUGAACUCUACCCUCAAAUAUUUUACAAAUAUUACAGCUUUGUUUGUUUAUUCCUUUGUUUAAUUUAUUUGCCUGUAGUAAGAACAUUACCUGUGAUUUGAUUCUGUAAGUUAGUUCCAUAUUGUAUAUCAUGUAUUGACUAUUUCUUUUUUCAGUUCAAUCAUGAGCAAAGGUAAGAUUUUCUAUUAUUUAUUUAAUGUAACCUUAGGAAUGACUUGAUAAAUUUUAUAGUAUAAUUUGACACACAUCUGUUGUAAUUGUUUUUGAAAGCUUUGAUUGUAUUUUGAUCCAUGUUGGUAAGUAAACAAAGUAAAUAGACUUGGUGUGGGAGGAGGAGGUACAAACAGACAUUAGAAUAAGCACAGAUUAAUUGCACCGAGUGAUUAGUUUUAGAAUCAGUAACAUUUGGUUGAGAUAUUAUCCUUUUACUUGUAAAUUUCAUUCAAUUUCAUAAAGGAAAAUUAUAAAAAGCAAGUGACCAUUAUCUCUUUUAUAUGAUCAGAACAGAAAAGAGUGUUAUGAGGGAAAGAGGUGAGUGGGGAUGGGCCCGUGCCACUUUAAGAGUAUAAGGAUUUAAAACAUCAUAGUAAUUUAGGGAUUUCUCCAAGAAGCCAUUUGUUUCAGUUCAGUCACUUCCUUUUAUAAAAGACAGCAACUCAGCUCAAAACGGCUCAAUCAAAGUAGUAUUUGGCUUACAUUUUCUUACUUCAGGCAUGAAUGGAUCUUGCUGUUCAUACCAUGUCAGUCCAUAAACGGAAUGUUAUUGGUUCUGAAUCACAUAACAUUAUCUUCUAUCCAUCUUUGAUCCAAUCACUAUGGCUGAAAGAAUGAUUUGUUCUAAUAAACCAUCCCUAGACUCUGUGAUCAUCCCUGGAAUCAAUGCCAUCUGGACCUCAUAGGCUAAUAGUUGAUGAGGUCUGGUUUCUCAAGGAAAAUUGGGGUACACCUACCAUGAGGAAGAUGAAUGAAUGCCAGGCAGACAAAUUAACAGGUGUCUACUAAACCAUCUGACAAAUAAAAACACUAGACAUUAGAUAUUUAUUAUCAUUGCUAGAGGCCAGGCACAGUUGCUCACACCUGUAAUCC